rnacentral:rRNA from 1 species
UACGUAGGGCGCAAGCGUUAUCCGGAAUUAUUGGGCGUAAAGAGCUCGUAGGCGGUUUGUCGCGUCUGCCGUGAAAGUCCGGGGCUCAACUCCGGAUCUGCGGUGGGUACGGGCAGACUAGAGUGAUGUAGGGGAGACUGGAAUUCCUGGUGUAGCGGUGAAAUGCGCAGAUAUCAGGAAGAACACCGGUGGCGAAGGCGGCUCUCUGGGCCUUACCUGACGCUGAGGAGCGAAAGCGUGGGGAGCAAACAGG